rnacentral:rRNA from 1 species
CCCGCUCCCGGUAAAACGGGACGGCCCGCCAGAGGACCCCUAAACUCUGUUUCUAUAUGUAACUUCUGAGUAAAACCAUAAAUAAAUCAAAACUUUCAACAACGGAUCUCUUGGUUCUGGCAUCGAUGAAGAACGCAGCAAAAUGCGAUAAGUAAUGUGAAUUGCAGAAUUCAGUGAAUCAUCGAAUCUUUGAACGCACAUUGCGCCCGCCAGUAUUCUGGCGGGCAUGCCUGUUCGAGCGUCAUUUCAACCCUCAAGCACAGCUUGGUGUUGGGACUCGCGUUAAUUCGCGUUCCCCAAAUUGAUUGGCGGUCACGUCGAGCUUCCAUAGCGUAGUAGUAAAACCCUCGUUACUGGUAAUCGUCGCGGCCACGCCGUUAAACCCCAACUUCUGAAUGUUGACCUCGGAUCAGGUAGGAAUACCCGCUGAACUUAAGCAUAUC